rnacentral:rRNA from 1 species
AUCAACUUUCGAUGGUAGGAUAGAGGCCUACCAUGGUGGUAACGGGUAACGGGGUGUUAGGGCACGACACCGGAGAGGGAGCCUGAGAAACGGCUACCACAUCCAAGGAUGGCAGCAGGCGCGCAAAUUACCCAAUCCCGACACGGGGAGGUAGUGACAAUAAAUAACAAUACGGGGCUCUUUAGGGUCUCGUAAUUGGAAUGAGUACAAUUUAAAUCUCUUAACGAGGAACAAUUGGAGGGCAAGUCUGGUGCCAGCAGCCGCGGUAAUUCCAGCUCCAAUAGCGUAUAUUAAAGUUGUUGCAGUUAAAAAGCUCGUAGUUGAAUUUCGGGGUCAGCAGGUUGGUCGUGCCUCUGGUACGCACUGGUUUCGCUGAUUCCUCCUUCCUGAAGAACUGUAAUGUCAUUAAUUUGGUGUUGCAGGGAAACAGGACUGUUACUUUGAAAAAAUUAGAGUGUUUAAAGCAAGCUAACGCUUGAAUACAUUAGCAUGGAAUAAUGAAAUAGGACGUUUGAUCCUAUUUUGUUGGUUUCUAGGAUUGACGUAAUGAUUAAUAGGGAUAGUUGGGGGCAUUAGUAUUCAAUUGUCAGAGGUGAAAUUCUUGGAUUUAUUGAAGACUAACUACUGCGAAAGCAUUUGCCAAGGAUGUUUUCAUUAAUCAAGAACGAAAGUUAGGGGAUCGAAGACGAUCAGAUACCGUCGUAGUCUUAACCAUAAACUAUGCCGACUAGGGAUCGGAUGAUGUUAAUUUUUUAAUGACUCAUUCGGCGCCUUACGGGAAACCAAAGUGUUUGGGUUC